rnacentral:rRNA from 1 species
AUUGAACGCUAGCGGGAUGCCUUACACAUGCAAGUCGAACGGAGUGGCGAACGGGUGAGUAAUGUAACGGAACGUGCACAGUCGCGGGGGAUAACUACGAGAAAGCGUAGCUAAUACCGCAUACUAUUGGAGCGGCCGAUAUCGGAUUAGCUAGUGGGUGGGGUAGCGGCUCACCUAGGCGACGAUCCGUAGCUGGUUUGAGUUGACGACCAGCCACACGUGAACUGAGACACGGCCCAGACUCCUACGGGAGGCAGCAGUGGGGAAUUUUGGACAAUGGGGGAAACCCUGAUCCAGCCAUGCCGCGUGUGCGAUGAAGGCCUUCGGGUUGUAAAGCACUUUUGGCAGGAAAGCGGUACCUGCAGAAGAAGCACCGGCUAACUACGUGCCAGCAGCCGCGGUAAUUC